AUAACGGUCCUAAGGUAGCGAAAUUCCUUGUCGGGUAAGUUCCGACCCGCACGAAUGGCGUAACGACUUGUGAGCUGUCUCAACAGGAGGCCCGGUGAAAUUGAAGUAUGUGUGAAGAUGCACAUUACCCGCGACUGGACGGAAAGACCCCGUAGAGCUUUACUGUAACCUGACAUUGGAUCUUGAUAACGGAUGCACAGGAUAGGUGGGACGCUGGGAGACGAGGACUUUGGUUUUCGUGGAGCGGCCGUUGGGAUACCACUCUUCUGUUAUUGAGAUUCUAACCUCAAGCCGUGAGCCGGAUGAGAGACAGUGUCAGGCGGACAGUUUGACUGGGGCGGUCGCCUCCGAAAGAGUAACGGAGGCGCCCAAAGGUACCCUCAGAAUGGAUGGAAACCAUUCGAAGAGAGCAAAGUCAGAAGGGUGCUUGACUGCGAGACCAACAAGUCGAGCAGGUACGAAAGUAGGGCUUAGUGAUCCGGCGGUAAGAGAGUGGAAUUGCCGUCGCUCAACGGAUAAAAGCUACCUCGGGGAUAACAGGCUGAUCUCCCCCAAGAGUUCACAUCGACGGGGAGGUUUGGCACCUCGAUGUCGGCUCAUCGCAUCCUGGAGCUGAAGUCGGUUCCAAGGGUUGGGCUGUUCGCCCAUUAAAGCGGUACGCGAGCUGGGUUCAGAACGUCGUGAGACAGUUCGGUCCCUAUCUGUCGUGGGCGCAGGAGGUUUGAGGAGAGCUGCCCCUAGUACGAGAGGACCGGGGUGGACGGACCGAUGGUGCACCAGUUGUCACGCCAGUGGCACAGCUGGGCAGCCAAGUCCGGACGGGAUAAGCGCUGAAGGCAUCUAAGCGUGAAGCCCCCUCCAAGAUGAGACCUCCCAUUGGCGACAAGUAAGGCCCCUCGAAGACGACGAGGUUGAUAGGCCGCGAGUGCAAGCGCAGCGAUGUGCUUAGCGGGGCGGUACUAAUAGGCCGAGGACUUGGCCAA
rnacentral:rRNA from 1 species